GCCUUUCCUGGAAUCCAGUGUUUUGUUGUAAGCUGUCUUGGCUCCAACAACAGCAGCUUCGAAGAAUUCAGUGACGACAUAGUGUUACUGAUCAGACAGAUCCUGGACCAGAGCCACAGUGGAAAUCAUGUGCUUGGCAAGCAUACUCCCUAGGCUUUGCUCCACGUGAUCCCAAGUGGACCAACUCAGAGGUAUUUGACCUGCUUGGAGUCUGUGGAAAACUUCUAUCAAAAACACCGUGGGAAGUCAAGGAAUGAAUUCUUCUGUUGUGUCACGUCUUUGCAAAUGGAUCUCAAGUAGCGCAGCAUUGGGUUAAGAAUCCUACCUCCAUGAAACCCAAUGGUAAAAAUGAAUGUUCCAGUUCUGACUGCCAAGGCCCUAACUUGUCCAAGCUUGAAACAUGAAGUGCUCCUUCCCUUCUACCGCAUCUGUACCCAUUGCACCUGAUUCUUACCUGAUGUUUGCCUAGGAUAUUCUCAUGUCAUAAUGAUGUGGUGGUAAUAAGAAAAUAAUUCAGUCUGAGAAUGAAAAUCAAUCCUUUAUUUAUUCUAAACAGAAAUUAUGCAGUAAUGUCAACUGAGACAGGGUCCAUGCACUCCCCAUCCCCCUUACGUAUCGACCCUGGCCAUUAAGUGACAUUGUGUCACACGUUGUACAAGUGAAUUUUAGCUUCAGAUAUGGAAAUCACCUGAUGUUACUCAAGACAUCGGACUUCAUUCCUUGUCAUAGCAACAGGUCACAGCUGCUAUCCAGCAAAUCCAAGGACACAAUGUGCACAUUGGUUUCAGGACAGCCAUUGAUGGGUUUCCCCUGGUUUAGUCAAAGAUGUGCUUCUUCACCACCCAGAAACACAUCAUCCAGCACAAAAGUGAUGUGCAUACUUCAAGAGGGAAACAACGCUUCUGGCUCAGGAAGUCAGUGUGCAUCUGAAUUGCCACUGAAGCACCACUGCCGUGCCCAGACACAUGCUUCCUGCUCAGUUGCUUGCAAAGACUACAAAAAUGCAGAGGCUGUGGUGACGGGUGUGGUGACAGUUCUGUAG
rnacentral:lncRNA from 1 species